GACGAACGCUGGCGGCGUGCUUAACACAUGCAAGUCGAACGGAAAGGCCCUGCUUUUGUGGGGUGCUCGAGUGGCGAACGGGUGAGUAACACGUGAGUAACCUGCCCUUGACUUUGGGAUAACUUCAGGAAACUGGGGCUAAUACCGGAUAGGAGCUCCUGCUGCAUGGUGGGGGUUGGAAAGUUUCGGCGGUUGGGGAUGGACUCGCGGCUUAUCAGCUUGUUGGUGGGGUAGUGGCUUACCAAGGCUUUGACGGGUAGCCGGCCUGAGAGGGUGACCGGCGACAUGGGGACUGAGGUACGGCCCAGACUCCUACGGGAGGCAGCAGUGGGGAAUAUUGCACAAUGGGCGGAAGCCUGAUGCAGCAACGCCGCGUGCGGGAUGACGGCCUUCGGGUUGUAAACCGCUUUGGACUGUGACGAAGCGUGAGUGACGGUAAUGGGUAAGGAAGCACCGGCUAACUACGUG
rnacentral:rRNA from 1 species